AGUUUUAGAAAGAUUUUAUUUUAUUUUGUCCCUCAAAUCUGGAACAAUCAUGGCAUAACAAAGGAGUAAGUUCACAAGUUAAAUAAAAUCUUCAAGGUUAAACAAAAUUGGAAAGACCUAACAUUAAUAUCUCUAAAAAUAGGUUAUCAAGCUUUUACUUUUGUAUCAAACAUGAAAAUCCAAUGAGAUAUAAUCUGAGACAUAUUCCAUUCUAUUUGUUUUAUCAGACAAAACCUCCAGUUAUUUUUAAGAAUCACUUUCUGAAAGUCUUCUUAAAUCCAUUAGCUAUGCUAAUAUUCCAAACACUGCCUACAAUCACAGCUGGAACUGAGGACAGCUGUUCUGAGAACACUAAGGAACGAUCAGGUAGGUGUUAUGAAGUAGGGACCUUCAGUGCACCUAUAGCUACAGGAGAAUGACACAGGAGGAGUAUUCAGACUCAUGUCACUCAGACUCUGUCACAAUCUUUGGAGUAAAAAGUGUCCUAAUGGCAGGCUAUAUGUCAGCCAAGUUGGGUAAAGGUUGGUAAAAGAUGUCAUUAGCCAUAGUACCAUUUUCUUAUAAUACUUGUACCAUAAUAAAAUACAGAAUUUCAAUGACCAGGAGAUACAGCUACUGAACUGACGAUGACUGUGCAUAUCAUAUUAUUUGGUGGUUUUAAUUCCUAGUGUGCAGUGAAGAAUGGAAAUGGAGAUUGUUGGCAAAGGAGACUUCCCGGGAAGCAGAAUUCUCUUUUGUCUACCUGCAGAGGCCAUCACAGGCCUGCCAUUAAUUGACUGCCCAGAUCAUUCUCCUGCUAGCGCAGAGGUGGGAGGGGACAGCUUGAGGACAGAAUCGUAAGGGCUGGAGGAUAUUUAUACUGCCCUUACAGUCAGCUCACUGGACUAGUAAAUGGCAGGUGACUCUUUCUCGUUUACUCUUCAUUAAUUCAUUUUUAAAAAGUACUGGCUAUCUAUUAUGUCACAGACAUGGUUACUGACGUUGGUGAUAAACUGUGAAUGAGACAGAGGUGUUAAUGAGAAGUACCACUGGGUUUGACCCUCCCUGCUGCGAAUCUGGUGGAUUCACAUCAGUAAGAUAUAUGACGGUCUGAGAAAGGGCUGACGGUCAAAUAGUGUAUCCUCAUUCUCCAAGCCCAGAAUCCAGAGCCCCAGAACAGGGCAGUGAAACAGAGAAUGAAAGGGACAUGGAUGGUGUCUCCUCUGCCUUACUGAGGCCAACAUUCCAGACACUGGCCACUUCCUUUCUGAGACUGCUCAGGGCGAAGAAGUGCUAUCCUGGCCUUUCUUGCCACUGCUUGAGAAAACAGCUUAGACCAUGGCAUAGUGGGAGAUAUAGCCAUAAUCUUGACAGAUUCCAUGCAACUGUGAAUAAUCCUCCUUAGCAGAUGCCACAGACCCACAACUCCCAUUAGCAUGGACACAGAAUGACCAGUCCACCUCCUCUGGGUGGUGGCUCAGAAUGGGUGAAGCAGAGGGGAGAGAGACCUCAGGCACAGGACAAUGAAGUCCAAAGGCAUGACAGGAACAGAGCCACACAAGCUGGGUAGCAGAAGUCUAGACAGAAUGAGCAAUAGUGGGUGGGGGUGGGGGUGGGGAUAAAAACACAUUUAGUUAUCGUGGAAACCAAAACCACGGCACAGGCAUGUCUCCAUGCUGGCUUACUCCAAUGGGCUGUGUGCUCCACAGGAAGAUGAGUGAGCAGAUGGGUUAGGGUUAGGGCUAGGGCUAGGGUUAGGGUCAGGGUCAUGGGUGCGGAAAGCCCGAGUAAGACGAGUAAGAGCUCACAGACAGGGAGCCCUCACAGCCAACAGAACCACUAGCAAUCAUCUGCUCCCUGCCUUUGUUACAAGAAAUGUGUCUUGCCAAUAAAGCUGGUUAUUAGCAGAGGGAGUUCUAACAGCUGACUUGUGAAGCAAAAAGAGCCAGCUGUCCUGGCCUCCAGGACUCAGGGAUAACUUCCUAUGUCAAGUUCCCA
rnacentral:lncRNA from 1 species